rnacentral:antisense_RNA from 1 species
AAUUAUGGUGGGCGGAAUGGGGCAACCGAAAGGUUGGCCGGUAGACUCUCUAUAGGCCGGUAGUUCCAACUCCAUUCAGCUCACCGCCAAU